rnacentral:lncRNA from 1 species
UAUUCCUAGUCAUUACGACGAUAAUGACGAUCACCAUCAUCAUCACGAUGCAUCGUGUGUCGGGAUGCAACCACCCGACGCUCAGUACCAUAUUGCUAGUCACUUACAUGAGCCUUUAAUUAGGAAUAUAGCGUGUGUAAACACAACACUUCGUUUCGUAUGGCAGCACAAACGUUUCCCACGCGCGCUUGCCAAAUGCAUUAUUUCACAUAAUUAGAAAGACGGUUUAGAGAGAUAUUUAGUUGUUAUUUUAUACCGGCACAAUAAUAUAUUGAAAAAUAUCUUCUUUUUUUUCAAAUUGAACUUUAGUAUCUGUUCUAAACAAAUUACAGACAAUUUUUUCAUCUGUGUACUUGGCACCAAUGUUUGCGCAGGUGUUAUCAAACAUGGAGAGGAGAGAACGUUCUGCAGCCCUGUCAGUAACCCUGCACAUAGCACCUUUGCGCCUUAUCGAGCAAAGGCCAGUCGUCGAGGACAGAUCUACUAGUACUGUAACACAAUAAAUGACAGCAAAAGAAAGGCCUAGGAUGAAAUUACUGCCUCAUUAAACGCCAGCAACCAAGAUCAACUCCCUCUUACAGCCAAGCACCUCAAGAGGAGCUCCAACAUAAAAAGGAAACUAAAACCAGAGAUAUAGAAGAGCGGGUGGUGGUCCUCCAGAAAAACUAUCAUUAGCUUCAGAAGAAAUCGCCACCCAGUGCUCGUGUCAUGCGGAAGACUUCUGCAAGUGUACCUGAACUUCCUCACUCCCAUAAUCCUCUUGUUUUGCCUGUUCCAACACCAGGGCUAUCAACUGUGUCUUCUGCACCAUCUACUUCUGUUUUUCGACUUCUAAUUUCACCCUCUGUUCCUGCCUCACCAAUAUAAAUUGUACACAAUGAAAAGAGAGCAUGAGGAGGAACUGAAAGUGAAGGCCAUAAUAUCAGCACAUACACUCAAAGAAAGAUAAAGUGAAACUGUAAUUAGAGUGAUUGAAAAGACGCUUGAAAAAAUUAAUAAAUCUUUUGAAUUGUUAGAUACAUGUUUAAGGAAAGCAUCAACUGCAUAUGAUGCCAUGGCUAAAACUUAUGAAUGAUGGUUGAGUAAUAACAUACAGUCAUAUGCAAUGUUUAUGAUUUUACUAUAUACAGGGGUACUGUGAUAUAUCGUAAAGUGGCAUCUAGAUUAUAAAUUUAUUUUCUUAUGUCUUACACCUUAAAAUAAUUUUAUUUAAAGGAAAUAAAUCUACAUUUCUUUAU